GUGCUCUCUUAGGCAGCAUGUAUAUUAAAAAUUGGAAUAAUACAGAGAUUACUAUGGCCCUUGCACCAAGGAUGACAUACAAAUUCAUUAAAUAUUCUGUAUUUAA